rnacentral:rRNA from 1 species
AUGAACGCUGGCGGCGUGCCUAAUCCAUGCCAGUCGAGCGCACAGAUGAGGAGCUUGCUCCUCUGACGUUAGCGGCGGACGGGUGAGUAACACGUGGAUAACCUACCUAUAAGACUGGGAUAACUUCGGGAAACCGGAGCUAAUACCGGAUAAUAUAUUGAACCGCAUGGUUCAAUAGUGAAAGACGGUUUUGCUGUCACUUAUAGAUGGAUCCGCGCCGCAUUAGCUAGUUGGUAAGGUAACGGCUUACCAAGGCAACGAUGCGUAGCCGACCUGAGAGGGUGAUCGGCCACACUGGAACUGAGACACGGUCCAGACUCCUACGGGAGGCAGCAGUAGGGAAUCUUCCGCAAUGGGCGAAAGCCUGACGGAGCAACGCCGCGUGAGUGAUGAAGGUCUUCGGAUCGUAAAACUCUGUUAUUAGGGAAGAACAAAUGUGUAAGUAACUAUGCACGUCUUGACGGUACCUAAUCAGAAAGCCACGGCUAACUACGUG